rnacentral:tRNA from 1 species
AUGUCUGUACCGCAAUGGAUAGUGCGUUGGACUUUUAAUCCAAAAGUGGUGGAUUCGAAUCCCACCUGGGAUG